UACGGAGGGUGCGAGCGUUGUCCGGAAUCACUGGGCGUAAAGGGCGCGUAGGCGGCUGGGGAAGUCUGUGGUGAAAGCUCGUGGCUCAACUACGAGUCGGCCAUAGAUACUCUCUAGCUCGAGCACUGUAGAGGCAGGUGGAAUUCCGGGUGUAGCGGUGGAAUGCGUAGAGAUCCGGAGGAACACCAGCGGCGAAGGCGGCAUCCUGGACUGGUACUGACGCUCAUGAGCGAAAGCGUGGGGAGCGAUCCGG
rnacentral:rRNA from 1 species